rnacentral:tRNA from 1 species
CUCGGUUCUGGGGUGCCGAUCGGUGCCUGCCUGGUUGGCGGCAAGGCGACCGGCCUGUUCGGGCCAGGCAACCAUGG